rnacentral:rRNA from 1 species
UACCACUUACAGAUGGACCCGCGGCGCAUUAGCUAGUUGGUGAGGUAAUGGCUCACCAAGGCAACGAUGCGUAGCCGACCUGAGAGGGUGAUCGGCCACACUGGGACUGAGACACGGCCCAGACUCCUACGGGAGGCAGCAGUAGGGAAUCUUCCGCAAUGGACGAAAGUCUGACGGAGCAACGCCGCGUGAGUGAUGAAGGUUUUCGGAUCGUAAAGCUCUGUUGUUAGGGAAGAACAAGUGCCGUUCAAAUAGGGCGGCACCUUGACGGUACCUAACCAGAAAGCCACGGCUAACUACGUGCCAGCAGCCGCGGUAAUACGUAGGUGGCAAGCGUUGUCCGGAAUUAUUGGGCGUAAAGGGCUCGCAGGCGGUUUCUUAAGUCUGAUGUGAAAGCCCCCGGCUCAACCGGGGAGGGUCAUUGGAAACUGGGGAACUUGAGUGCAGAAGAGGAGAGUGGAAUUCCACGUGUAGCGGUGAAAUGCGUAGAGAUGUGGAGGAACACCAGUGGCGAAGGCGACUCUCUGGUCUGUAACUGACGCUGAGGAGCGAAAGCGUGGGGAGCGAACAGGAUUAGAUACCCUGGUAGUCCACGCCGUAAACGAUGAGUGCUAAGUGUUAGGGGGUUUCCGCCCCUUAGUGCUGCAGCUAACGCAUUAAGCACUCCGCCUGGGGAGUACGGUCGCAAGACUGAAACUCAAAGGAAUUGACGGGGGCCCGCACAAGCGGUGGAGCAUGUGGUUUAAUUCGAAGCAACGCGAAGAACCUUACCAGGUCUUGACAUCCUCUGACACCCCUAGAGAUAGGGCUUCCCCUUCGGGGGCAGAGUGACAGGUGGUGCAUGGUUGUCGUCAGCUCGUGUCGUGAGAUGUUGGGUUAAGUCCCGCAACGAGCGCAACCCUUGAUCUUAGUUGCCAGCAUUCAGUUGGGCACUCUAAGGUGACUGCCGGUGACAAACCGGAGGAAGGUGGUGAUGACGUCAAAUCAUCAUGCCCCUUAUGACCUGGGCUACACACGUGCUACAAUGGACAGAACAAAGGGCAGCGAGACCGCGAGGUUAAGCCAAUCCCACAAAUCUGUUCUCAGUUCGGAUCGCAGUCUGCAAUUCGGCUGCGUGAAGCUGGCUUAGAGUUUGAUCCUGGCUCAGCAUGCCGCGGUGAAUACGUUCCCGGGCCUUGUACACACC